AUUGAACGCUGGCGGCAGGCCUAACACAUGCAAGUCGGGCGACCGGCGGACGGGUGAGUAAUGUAUGGGGAUCUGCCUGAUGGAGGGGGAUAACUACUGGAAACUGUAGCUAAUACCGCAUACCAUCCGUUGAACCCAUAUGGGAUUAGCUUGUAGGUGAGGUAACGGCUCACCUAGGCGACGAGCUCUAGCUGGUCUGAGAGGAUGAUCAGCCACACUGGAACUGAGACACGGGCCAGACUCCGACGGGAGGCAUCAGGUGCGAAUAUUGCACAAUGGGCGCAAGCCUGAUGCAGCCAUGCCGCGUGGAUGAAGAAGGCCUUCGGGUUGUAAAGUACUUUCAGUCGGGAGGCGUGACCCACAGAAGAAGCACCGGCUAACUCCGUGCCAGCAGCCGCGGUAAUUC
rnacentral:rRNA from 1 species